rnacentral:rRNA from 1 species
UUCCGGUUGAUCCCGCCGGACCUGACUGCUAUCGGAUUGAUACUAAGCCAUGCGAGUCUUUGCAGUAAUGCAAGGCAUACGGCUCAGUAACACGUAGUCAACUUACCCUAUGGACGAGGAUAAUCUCGGGAAACUGAGCAUAAUACUCGAUAGAUCAUAAUGCCUGGAAUGGUUUAUGGUUAAAAUGAUUCGUCGCCAUAGGAUGGGACUGCGGCCUAUCAGCUUGUUGGUGAGGUAAUGGCCCACCAAGGCGAUUACAGGUACGGGCUCUGAGAGGAGAAGCCCGGAGAUGGGUACUGAGACAAGGACCCAGGCCCUAUGGGGCGCAGCAGGCGAGAAAACUUUGCAAUGUGCGAAAGCACGACAAGGUUAAUCCGAGUGAUUUCUGCUAAAGAAAUCUUUUGCAAGUCAUAAAACCACUAGUGAAUAAGGGGUGGGCAAGUUCUGGUGUCAGCCGCCGCGGUAAAACCAGCACCUCAAGUGGUCAGGAGGAUUAUUGGGCCUAAAGCAUCCGUAGCCGGCUCUGUAAGUUUUCGGUUAAAUCCAUGUGCUCAACACAUGGGCUGCCGAAAAUACUGCAUAGCUAGGGAGUGGGAGAGGUAGACGGUACUCGGUAGGAAGGGGUAAAAUCCUUUGAUCUAUCGAUGACCACCUGUGGCGAAGGCGGUCUACCAGAACACGUUCGACGGUGAGGGAUGAAAGCUGGGGGAGCAAACCGGAUUAGAUACCCGGGUAGUCCCAGCUGUAAACGAUGCAGACUCGAUGAUGCAUUGGCAUAUAGCCAGUGCAGUGUCGCAGGGAAGCCGUUAAGUCUGCCGCCUGGGAAGUACGUACGCAAGUAUGAAACUUAAAGGAAUUGGCGGGGGAGCACCACAAGGGGUGAAGCCUGCGGUUCAAUUGGAGUCAACGCCGG